GCCUCAGCUUCUGCGACCCACCUUUUCCCCACUUAGAAUCGUGCCGAGGGAUCUGGAGACGUCCUAGAGAGGUUUGGGGGCAUCCAGGGGGUUCUGGACUCAUGCAGAAGAGUCUGGAGAUGUCCAAGGAGGAUCCAGGGAGUCCCCAGCCUGCCUGCAGCCGGUCCCGGUGACACCGGAGCCCUGUGGCGCUGUCACCAUCCUCUGUCCCGAGGACGGGAGGUGAACUCUGUGCCACCAGCAGAGGGGACCACGGGUGACAUCAGUGUGGAACAGCCGUGACGCGGCGGCGUUGUCAUUGGGUGUCACCGUCACGCAGAGGGGACAAAAGGACCCCCCUGGGGGCAUUGCGUCGAAGUUGGGGACACCGUGAGCAGCUUGAGGACUUCCCAGGGGAAGUGGGGGCACCGCGUCACCGUGUCACACCCCAAAGGUGGGGACGCCCCCACAGUGUCACACACCAAAGUUGGGGGCACCCCUGUAGUUUCACACCCCGAAGUUGGAAAAACCCCCACAGUGUCACACCCCAAAGUUGGGGACACCUCUGUGUCACCCCAAUGGUGUCCGACCCAAAGCUGGGGACACUCCACAGUGUCACACCCCAAAGUUGGGGACGCCCCGACAGUGUCACAUCUCAAAGUUGGGACAGCUCUGUGUCCCCCCGAUGGUGUCAGACCCCAAAGUUGGGGACGCCCCCACAGUGUCACAGCCCAAAGUUGGGGUCUGUCCCAGAGGUGGGAGUGCCCCCACAUCCCCACCAUGGCGUCACAUCCCAAAGUUGGGGACCCCCAUCUGGGGACCCAUUCUGUGCGCCCCCCAUUGCAGACAGCACUGUUCCCAUGGGGUGGGGGUGGGGGGCACCCUUUAUUUUUGGGAUUAAGGUUUAUUUUGUGAUAACGGGGCGUUGGGGGAUGCCCCCCCUACGUGAAUAAAGGGCAGAGGAGCG
rnacentral:lncRNA from 7 species